UUUGAUGGCGACCGGCGCACGGGUGAGUAACACGUAUCCAACCUGCCGAUAACUCGGGGAUAGCCUUUCGAAAGAAAGAUUAAUAUCCGAUAGGAUAUCAAGGUCGCAUGAUCUUGAUAUUAAAGAAUUUCGGUUAUCGAUGGGGAUGCGUUCCAUUAGUUAGUUGGCGGGGUAACGGCCCACCAAGACGACGAUGGAUAGGGGUUCUGAGAGGAAGGUCCCCCACAUUGGAACUGAGACACGGUCCAAACUCCUACGGAAGGCAGCAG
rnacentral:rRNA from 1 species